rnacentral:misc_RNA from 1 species
UGGCUUGGGAUGGAGACGGCAUCUUCGGAUGCAUGACCUUUCCCGUGCUUUUUAGAACAUAGAUGGCACCAGUCAGGUGACCAUCGAACGCAAUACGUCGAGUAUGGCGAUUUGGUUGUCCUUCGAGCGCUAAGCGAGAAGGGCGGAUAGCCAAAUCCCGCUCAGAUAUGGCGAGACCCGCCGUCCACGUUUCUCUUUCUCACAAGGAUACGAACCACGCCGCAUCAUGUUGCGUGCUUAACGAAUGGGCCCGUAGCUCAGGUGGUUAGAGCGCACGCCUGAUAAGCGUGAGGUCGGCAGUUCGAGUCUGCCCGGGCCCACCAUUCGCUUAUGCGAAUGUGUCCUGACGCUGUCGCGAUCUAAAGAUCGCUUCGCUCCGGACGGGCCGCCGAACGAUCGGCGACGGGCUUUGCCCUUGCGGCGCUAUGCGCCGUCGGGUGCACGACGUGUUCACCCGAAUAUGGGGCUGUAGCUCAGCUGGGAGAGCACCUGCUUUGCAAGCAGGGGGUCAGCGGUUCGAUCCCGCUCAGCUCCACCAUUCGAUUGGUGUUGAACUGGCGGAUAUUAUCCUUGGAGAAAAAAUAGGUUUGCAUCGUCUCCAUCGUGAGACGGAUGCCUGUUCUGCUUACAUUGUGAAGAGAAGAUAUGUCUGGAAGCUUCCAGGUGUUGAUGGUGAUCGAAAGGUUGCCUGAGACGUCCGAGCCCAGUCCCGAAGCAGCCAUGGAUGGUCUAGCCGACCGAAAAUGGAAGAGGGUCUGGAGGUAGGAGGGAAGUCUUGUCCUUUGAGCAUGAUCGUUGUUGGGGUGUUCUUCGGAACGCGCCUCUGAUGGUCGUGUCGGAUUGGUGUUGCCUGACCGCGCAUCAACGGACAGAUCUCGAGAAGCUGGUCUUAGAUAUGGGCCUCGAAGGUSUCGGCGUGACUUUGGGAGGACAUAUCGACACGUCGAUGGAUUGUUAAAAGCGCGAUUGUAAGGUAAUCCGCAUACUGUUUGGCGACUG